GGCAGGCCUAACACAUGCAAGUCGAGCGGAUGAAGGGAGCUUGCUCCUGGAUUCAGCGGCGGACGGGUGAGUAAUGCCUAGGAAUCUGCCUGGUAGUGGGGGAUAACGUCCGGAAACGGGCGCUAAUACCGCAUACGUCCUGAGGGAGAAAGUGGGGGAUCUUCGGACCUCACGCUAUCAGAUGAGCCUAGGUCGGAUUAGCUAGUUGGUGGGGUAAAGGCCUACCAAGGCGACGAUCCGUAACUGGUCUGAGAGGAUGAUCAGUCACACUGGAACUGAGACACGGUCCAGACUCCUACGGGAGGCAGCAGUGGGGAAUAUUGGACAAUGGGCGAAAGCCUGAUCCAGCCAUGCCGCGUGUGUGAAGAAGGUCUUCGGAUUGUAAAGCACUUUAAGUUGGGAGGAAGGGCAGUAAGUUAAUACCUUGCUGUUUUGACGUUACCAACAGAAUAAGCACCGGCUAACUUCGUGCCAGCAGCCGCGGUAAUACGAAGGGUGCAAGCGUUAAUCGGAAUUACUGGGCGUAAAGCGCGCGUAGGUGGUUCAGCAAGUUGGAUGUGAAAUCCCCGGGCUCAACCUGGGAACUGCAUCCAAAACUACUGAGCUAGAGUACGGUAGAGGGUGGUGGAAUUUCCUGUGUAGCGGUGAAAUGCGUAGAUAUAGGAAGGAACACCAGUGGCGAAGGCGACCACCUGGACUGAUACUGACACUGAGGUGCGAAAGCGUGGGGAGCAAACAGGAUUAGAUACCCUGGUAGUCCACGCCGUAAACGAUGUCGACUAGCCGUUGGGAUCCUUGAGAUCUUAGUGGCGCAGCUAACGCGAUAAGUCGACCGCCUGGGGAGUACGGCCGCAAGGUAAAACUCAAAGGAAUUGACGGC
rnacentral:rRNA from 1 species